GAUCAUGGCUCAGGAUGAACGCUAGCGACGGGCCUAACACAUGCAAGUCGAGGGGCAGCGGGGAGGUAGCAAUACCUUUGCCGGCGACCGGCGCACGGGUGAGUAACACGUAUGCAAUCCACCUGUAACAGGGGGAUAACCCGGAGAAAUCCGGACUAAUACCCCAUAAUAUGGGCUCUCCGCAUGGAGGGUUCAUUAAAGAGAGCAAUUUUGGUUACAGACGAGCAUGCGCUCCAUUAGCCAG
rnacentral:rRNA from 1 species